CUCCGAUGAUGAUCUAGCCAUGCUAAUACUGAUGCACCCUGGGUGUAACUGAGUGCUACUCUGCUUCUCACGCUGAUGGUAUCAGUGUGUGCUGAGGAGA